CCCAGCCAUACCACUCCUAGGCAUCUAUUCUGAGCAACAGGACCCAGGACAUGACAAGGACACCUGCACCUCCCUGUUCAUUGCUGCACUGUUCGCAAUAGCCAAGAUAUGAAAUGACCCAGAUGCACCACUACAGAUGAAUAAAUCCAACAAAUGUGGA